AAAUAGACAAAUCCUGGGUUUCCGUGUCCAACGUUUGACCGUUCGUCUUAUUUAAAAAAAUUAAAAAGACAAGUCACGUAUAAAGUAUUAAUCAUGUUUUAUCAUCUAACAAAAAUAAAAAUACUAAUUAUAAAAAAAUUUCAUAUAAGACGGACAGUUAAACGUUGUACACGGAAACUUAAGGUUUGUCAUUUU
rfam:Oryza glaberrima chromosome 7 Oglab07_0085_1, whole genome shotgun sequence.